CCUACGGGAGGCAGCAGUGAGGAAUAUUGGUCAAUGGGCUUACGCCUGAACCAGCCAAGUCGCGUGAGGGAAGACUGCCCUAUGGGUUGUAAACCUCUUUUGUCAGGGAGCAACGCCGGCUACGUGUAGCCGGACUGAGAGUACCUGAAGAAAAAGCAUCGGCUAACUCCGUGCCAGCAGCCGCGGUAAUACGGAGGAUGCGAGCGUUAUCCGGAUUUAUUGGGUUUAACGGGUGCGUAGGCGGAAUGCCAAGUCAGCGGUAAAAUCGCGGGGCUCAACCUCGCUCCGCCGUUGAAACUGGCGUUCUUGAGUGGGCGAGAAGUAUGCGGAAUGCGUGGUGUAGCGGUGAAAUGCAUAGAUAUCACGCAGAACUCCGAUUGCGAAGGCAGCAUACCGGCGCCCAACUGACGCUGAAGCACGAAAGCGUGGGGAUCGAACAGGAUUAGAUACCCCAGUAGUC
rnacentral:rRNA from 1 species